UACGUAGGGGGCUAGCGUUGUCCGGAAUCACUGGGCGUAAAGCGCACGUAGGCGGAUUGUUAAGUCAGGGGUGAAAUCCUGGAGCUCAACUCCAGAACUGCCUUUGAUACUGGCGAUCGUCGAGUCCGGGAGAGGUGAGUGGAACUGCGAGUGUAGAGGUGAAAUUCGUAGAUAUUCGCAAGAACACCAGUGGCGAAGGCGGCUCACUGGCCCGGUACUGACGCUGAGGUGCGAAAGCGUGGGGAGCGAACAGG
rnacentral:rRNA from 1 species